rnacentral:rRNA from 1 species
UACGUAGGGUGCGAGCGUUGUCCGGAAUUAUUGGGCGUAAAGAGCUCGUAGGUGGCCUGUCGCGUCGAUCGUGAAAACUUGGGGCUUAACCCUGAGCUUGCGGUCGAUACGGGCAUGACUUGAGUUCGGCAGGGGAGACUGGAAUUCCUGGUGUAGCGGUGAAAUGCGCAGAUAUCAGGAGGAACACCGGUGGCGAAGGCGGGUCUCUGGGCCGAUACUGACGCUGAGGAGCGAAAGCGUGGGGAGCGAACAGG